rnacentral:lncRNA from 1 species
CCCACCGCUACUUGCCGGCCCUGUCGCUCUGCGGAAAGGUCUGCGGGGCGCUGCCGAAGCGCUGUAUCACUGUGAAACAAGCAACGUGACAUAAGAAACAUUAUCAGAGAAUAAACUGAGGACCCAAAGUUAUACCCAUACUGACCUUCUAAAGUCUUAAUUCCUUCCUCAACGAACUUCCUAGCAGCAGCAGGACUGCAAAAAGGGCAAAGCAAUGUGCAAUUACGAACAGCAGGAAUCUUACAACGCUGCAAAGGACAUUAGAAUUCACUCAAACUGCCUAGAUUCUUCAAGGUCAAGAUUAAAGUUGCUUAUAAUGCUUAUCAUCCUUUUGUCACAUGCUUUUUCAAUUUUUAUUUUCAAGCAACACAGACAACUACCCAAGGCUCUGCCCGCACAUUUUUAGCAUUGAUGGAACUAUAUACUGAUGUAUGAUUUUAAAAAGUAAACAAACAAAAUCUCACCGAACAGCCAAUUCAGCUUUAGACAAUACCAGUAUGUAACUGACGGCACAAGAACUACAUCAACUAUAAACAGCCUCUGAGCCAACUUAAGGCUACAACGUAAGUGUCUUUAGACUAGAACUUGAAAACAAACAAAAAUCCACACAAGACUCUAGCUUGCAACCUAAAGUACAGAAAAACAACUUGGCUG